rnacentral:rRNA from 1 species
UACGGAGGGGGCUAGCGUUGUUCGGAAUUACUGGGCGUAAAGCGCGCGUAGGCGGACCUGCAAGCGGGGGUGAAAGCCCGAGGCUCAACCUCGGAACUGCCUUCGAUACUGCGGGUCUCGAGUCCGGGAGAGGUGAGUGGAAUUCCUAGUGUAGAGGUGAAAUUCGUAGAUAUUAGGAAGAACACCAGUGGCGAAGGCGGCUCACUGGCCCGGUACUGACGCCU